GGAGAGAUACCCAAGAGGCUGAAGGGGACGGUUUGCUAAACCGUUAGUGGGCCGUAAAGGCCCAGCGAGGGUUCGAAUCCCUCUCUCUCCGCCA
rnacentral:tRNA from 1 species